rnacentral:rRNA from 1 species
GAUGAACGCUGGCGGCGUGCCUAACACAUGCAAGUCGAGCGAAGCGCCUUACUUGAUUUCUUCGGGAUGAAAGUAUUGUGACUGAGCGGCGACGGGUGAGUAACGCGUGGAUAACCUGCCUCAUACAGGGGGAUAACAGUUAGAAAUGACUGCUGAUACCGCAUAAGCGCACGGUAUCGCAUGAUACAGUGUGAAAAGCCGAGACGGUAUGAGAUGGACCCGCGUCUGAUUAGCUAGUUGGCGGGGUAACGGCCCACCAAGGCGACGAUCAGUAGCCGGACUGAGAGGUUGAACGGCCACAUUGGGACUGAGACACGGCCCAG